GUGUUAGUCAGCAUGAUGGGUGUUGAUCAACAGCAGCCUGAUGGCUGCGGAGGGUUUGCCAGAGGGUCAUGACAGCCCCUUCAAAACUGACCAGAGGUCUCUUGGAGGGACCAGGUAUGCCAGAUGUGUACAGAUUGUGGAUCUGCUCAUCUUCAGGCGGAAAGGAGUGGUGGAACACAGCUGAGAACCAGGUGUCAAGGGCUGAAUAUUGGACGAUGAUGGAGGGAAAAUGACUUGAAGGCAAGCCAAGGAGGGGUGUAGAAACAAGGCAAGCAUGGUGGAGAAGGAGAGACUCACUGGAGCAGGGAACGCCAAGGAGAAGGCAGCUGGGUCUGCAGGCAGCAAGCCCCACAUCGAGGUGCAUGGGCCAGGGGAGAAUCACAGUUACGGAAUUCAGUCCAUCAGCACAUCUUCAGAUUUGCCCGAGACAAUUUUCCUCUGUCCUUAUGUUGGUGUCACUGGGUACCGUGGCGAUCCCCGUUAUUGUGGCAGGACGAGCACAUCAGGAGGAACUAAUCGUGAACGCUGAGAGUACUGGAGAAGUCGGGCUGAACAUGUAACGUUCCUGGUUCGAUGUGACUGGCCACCCACACCAUUCCACGCAGCCCAUCUCCUUUCAGUUUUGAUCAAAUAGCUCUUAGAGAAAACAGGACUUCUCCGGGGUACAUCGCCACAGACAGCCUUGAAACGUGGAGGUUCAAGUACUGCACCUGGACACCAGAUUUUAUGUCUAGACCAGAUAUCUCUGUGUGCAUGAAGCCCACCCUAAGCAGCUGGUGAUAUUGUAAAACUAAAAUUUUAUUUCAUUCUCUGUCUCUAUGCAAAACCAUGAUAAAUAUUCCUGUGGGAUUUUUGACAGCUGAAGAGAUCAAACAGAUACAAAAUUUUAUAAGGUAGGUGUAUUUACAAGCCAGAUAACUCCCCGCAUGUGGUAAUCACAGGGUAUUUCCUCAGAGAUCUUUAAAAUCAGCAAAACAUGACCUGAAGAUGUUUCCCCUUAGGACCCAAAUCCUGACCCCUUUUUUACAACCACUCAGCCCUCACUGGAGUGCUGGGAUACUGUUUUUUGCUGGUUGGAACAAUAUUCUUGUGCUCAAGU